rnacentral:rRNA from 1 species
AUGUUGCUCUCUUCACUCAUCUUCUCGAAUGGAGGAUCAUGUUCUUUUCAUGCUUAUCCAUUCAACCGGAAUGUUGUGUCAUCUCUUCAAGUUCUUUUCAUCUUAUCAAGUCUUGCAUCUCUUUUCAACCGGAGUGCUGUCCGAAUUUGUUCUUCCUUGUUCCUUGUUUAUCUCGUUUCAACCAGAGCGGGUUCAAUUCCUUCUUCUUCAUUGAACUCGUCAUUCAUAGCUUUGCAACCUCUAAGGUUCAAAUGGCGUUCCUUGUUUCUAUUUGUUCUACCGCAGCGCUCUCAAUUGUGUUCAACUCUGCUGUGUUCUUUCUUUCAACUUUUAAAUCUCUCAAGGUUCUUUGGUUUCACUCUUUUGUCGAAGAAGCAACUUAGUUUUACCCAAGGUUGUCAGAAUCGUGAUUUUGAAUCGGAUCGGAGCUCCAAUGGUAGGAUCGAAAAUCGUAGAAUCUUCACUAUCAGGAUCAUAGAAACGUAG